GAGCCAAACCACUGCUUACUGUUAAGCACUCUCCACCAGCCUAGUUUGAAGAAGGACACCGUGGAGGGGAGUUCAUUCCAAAACCAGAUGGUACGUGGCAAAAAAGAUCUCUGGAAACGCACUGUGAAUGAGCGCAGUGGCUCCAGGUAGUAUGGAUGAACUUUACUCAGGUGUCGGGCGGUGCGAUGGUAAAAACGAGAUGAUGGGUUCAUCUCAAACAAUUCCUCAGAGCACUCUACAGAUCUUAUAUCUACAGAACAUUUCCAGAUAUAUAUUAUUUCAUGUACUACCAGGCUUUUGAUAGAACUCAACUCCUCAGUGCUUCUGCAAGGAUACGAUACGUCACUGUGAAAGGUUUCUAUGAACUGACAGUGGCUUGACCUCUCUUUUUUAACAUGGUAAAUAUAUCACAUUCAAUAUUAUCGUACGUUUUAAUUAUAAUGUGUGCUUUUAUAAAUAAAAUUAUUUUCACAGAAUAUGACAAUCGCCCAUUGUAUUUCUUUAUCGGAUACUAUAAUAAGUACCUACCGUUUUUUUAAGCACAGUUUUGUUUUGUAUAUUGUGAGAUCUGGUUCAGAAGAUAACAAUAGCCAUAUCCUACAAAAAAUUCCAAGACUGAAGAUUGAAGUCGUCGUGGUCUAAGGGAGAUGUCCUACCACCAGUAAAAAAUGAUCGUGAUGAUCGCAACGGGGCGGGAUCUACUAACCGACAGUUCCGUUGACGUAGUUGUCGAUGGCGUUGGCCUGCACCGCGCGCGUGACGCCCUGCCUGAACCUCAUGGCGAGCACGCUGGGGUGUCGGCGCAGCCACCACAGCGCCGCCUUGCCCCCCGCCAGCCGCGUGCAGUGGAUGCGCGACUGCUGCCCCGCACCGAUGCCGAUCACCUAGGUUCAACACCAUGAUUUAGUAGCAUGAGAGAGAGAGAGAGAGAGAGAGAGAGAGAGAGAGAGAGAGAGAGAGAGAGAGAGAGAGAGAGAGAGAGAGAGAGAGAGAGAGAGAGAGAGAGAGAGAGAGAGAGAGAGAGAGAGAGAGAGAGAGAGAGAGAGAGAGAGAGAGAGAG